UAUUUAUUUUAUUAUAUUGAUUUUUUGUUUACUAUAUUAUUUAAUAGAAGUAACUUUAUUUUUUUAUAUGUCUAAGUAUAUUUUAUAGAAAUGAUUUUAUAUAUUAUAGUGUAUUAGUAAUGUAAAUGGAUUAUGAAAUAAUUAUUUAAGUUUUUAAAAGUAGAUUUUAAUUGUUGUACCUUUUGUAUCAGGGUUUAUCAAAAUUUUAGUAAUUAUUUACUGAUCUCGAUUUAGGUUGAUUUACAAACAAUUUAUAGUUAAUGUAUCAUAAUUAUUAUGAAAUUGUUUGUAGAAAUGAGAUGUUAUUCGUUUCCUAAAAUAUCUAGUUUCUUAAGAAAAAAUUUAAUUUUUUAUAGUUUUCUUGUUUUUAUUUAAUUAUUUAGAUGAAAAUGUGAACUAAUUUAUUCUUUUGGGGAUAAGCUCUAAAGUUUUUAACCUAUAAUUUAUUGAUUAUUAGAAUAUAAUAGUAAGCUUUAACCCAGCUUUCUAUGGAUUACGUUUUAGUUCAUUGUUCUUUUUCUUGAUUUUAUAAUUAUUUUAGGUUUUUUAUUAAGAUAAUCAAUUUAAUUUUAAAAUUUUUGUAAUAAUGAUUGAAUUAGUAUAUUUAUUUUGUUUAUAAUAUCUGUUUUGUUAAUUUAUUAUAAGGAACUAGGCAAAAUUGAUUUCCGCCUGUUUAUCAAAAACAUGUCCUCUUGAUAAUAUUAUGAGGUCUGGCCUGCUCACUGACGAGUUUUGAAGAGCCGCGGUAUUUUGACCGUGCAAAGGUAGCAUAAUCAUUAGUCUCUUAAUUAGGGGCUGGAAUGAAUGGCUUGACGAGAAAUCAACUGUCUCUUAAUAAAUUUUAGAAUUUAACUUUUGAGUCAAAAGGCUUAAAUUUUUCUUUAGGACGAGAAGACCCUAUAGAGCUUGACAUCUUACUUUUAUAUAGUUUUUAGUUGGUCUUUCUAUAUAAAAUGAUAAUGUUUUGUUGGGGUGACAUGAAGAAUAAAUAAACUCUUCAUUAUAUAAUCAUUAAUUUAUGUUUAUUAUGAUCCAUAAUUUAUGAUCACAAGAUUGAGUUACCUUAGGGAUAACAGCGUAAUUGUUUUUGAGAGCUCAUAUCGACAAAACAGAUUGCGACCUCGAUGUUGGAUUAAGAAAAAUGUUGGGUGCAGUAGCCCAAUGAUUAGGUCUGUUCGACCUUUAAAUUCUUACAUGAUCUGAGUUCAGACCGGCGUGAGCCAGGUCGGUUUCUAUCCUAAGAUAAUUAAUUUGCAUUAGUACGAAAGGACCAUGUGAGUGAAAUAUUUUUUAUUAUUUUGAUUAAAAUUAAUUAUU
rnacentral:rRNA from 1 species